rnacentral:rRNA from 1 species
AUUGAACGCUGGCGGCAUGCCUUACACAUGCAAGUCGAACGGCAGCACGGGAGCAAUCCUGGUGGCGAGUGGCGAACGGGUGAGUAAUAUAUCGGAACGUGCCCAGUCGUGGGGGAUAACGCAGCGAAAGCUGUGCUAAUACCGCAUACGAUCUAUGGAUGAAAGCGGGGGAUCGCAAGACCUCGCGCGAUUGGAGCGGCCGAUAUCAGAUUAGGUAGUUGGUGGGGUAAAAGCCCACCAAGCCGACGAUCUGUAGCUGGUCUGAGAGGACGACCAGCCACACUGGAACUGAGACACGGUCCAGACUCCUACGGGAGGCAGCAGUGGGGAAUUUUGGACAAUGGGCGCAAGCCUGAUCCAGCAAUGCCGCGUGCAGGAUGAAGGCCUUCGGGUUGUAAACUGCUUUUGUACGGAACGAAACGGCUCUUUCUAAUAAAGAGGGCUAAUGACGGUACCGUAAGAAUAAGCACCGGCUAACUACGUG